rnacentral:lncRNA from 1 species
UUUCCUCACGUGUUUCUUUCUCUAGACUGUUCUUCCUCUCAGCCACUCUGCUGCCCCAUUUCCACCAUCCUUCACCCCCAUUUCCGGCAGCAACCUGGCUGAACGCGUCCUUCAACUAACCACCAGCUGCCAUCGUCCUCACCUCACUGGCCUUCUCUCUGCAACCUCCCACUUUCUCUCUCUAAAAACCCCCUCACCAUCGCCCCUAUGGAAUCACAAGGUGGGUUCCAAGGUUUGAUCAGGUCAGGGUAAGAUAAAGGUUUUUUCCAUUGUGUUUUUGGCCAAAAUUAGACCAGAAAGUGGGGCUCUGUAUGGAUUCUUGAUGUGGGUUUUGGGUGCCUUGUUUAAUUAGGUGUUGCUUUUAUUCUUGAGUUUUUUUUUUUUUGGUAUAUUUACUGUUGUAGUUUUAGUGAAAUUUGGGGGAGAAUGGCUCGAUUUUGGCUGGAAAGUGAGCAAAAUAGGCUGGUUUAUGGUGGUGAUGGGGAAAUUCGCUGGUUUAUCAGAGGUUUUCUUUUCUUGGGUUGAGUAGGGGGCCAGAAUUUAUUAUCGGAUCAUUUGGCCGGAAACUUUCGUUGGAGAAUGAAGAUUGGUGAUUUUCUUCAGGGGGGUUUGUGAUUUUCUUGACCCGGAAAGCCUGAAUGGCCGGAAUUUUGAUGAGAAUUGCCGAAGGUUUUUGUUCCUCCAUAAACUACCAACGCCAUCGCCAAUUUGCUGAUGUCCCUUUUUCUCUCUCUAAAACCACUACCGCCCCUUUUUCUCUCUCUAAGAUCACUGCCACUGUGCUGCAGCCCCUUUUACCUCUCUCUCUCUCUCUCUCUGUUGAUCGGGCAUUUUACUCUCACCCUCUUGAUCAAUAGCCUCUCUCUCUCUCUAUAGAUGGGGGAUCUCCAACAGCAGAACCUGAUUCACUACGGUGAAUGCACCUUUCAAAGUAUAUACAAGCGCGUUCUCUUGAAGCGCUCUGUCACCAGUUUCAGUGCCGCAAAAUUAUAGUGGCCGGAAGUUUGCAGGAAAACACGGCAAAUUUUGGGGGGUUGAGAGCAGAAAAUUAUAGUGGCACAAGGUUUGCAGGAAAAAUUGGGGGGUUGGGAGAGAGAGAGGGGUUUGGGAGGUUGAUUGGGGGAGAGAGAAAAGGAAAUAACGAGGAGAGAGGGCUCUAGAAAAACAUUGUUUCUAUAAAUUUGUUUGGGUCAAAAAAUUUAAUAAAAAAUAAAUAAAAUAUGUUUAGAGGGUUAGAAGAUAUAAUAAAGUGAAUUUUUAUGUAGUAAGAUAGGUUUUACAGCUUUAGAUUAAUAAAAAAAUGAAAGUUGAAAAUAGGGUUGGAGAUAUUUUUUCAAAAAUCUAUCCUUCAUUAAAUUUCACUCAUAUCAUAAAUAUGAAAUGUAGGGACACCGGCAAACUCUCUCUCAAAAAAUAAGUAGCAAACAAAGAUUAGGAAAGAAGAAAAAAUAUAAAGCUAACUGUGUUACUCAAUACUUUAAUAAAAGGUGUGGUUUGUAUAAGGCUGCGACUAAUAUAUUUAAAGCAUGAUUAAAUAAAGUAUAUUUAAAUAAAAUUAAAAAUGAAUAAAAAAAUAGAUUUUAUAUGUGUUCAAGGGUAUUUUUGAGUUUUUUCAAAAAAAAGAAGAAAGAGAUGAAAAUAAAUAUUAAUAGCCAAAACAAUUUCCAAUCUUUUCCAAAAUAAUAAAAACAUUAAAAAAUCCUUUAUAAACAAAAUCUCUUAUUUUUUGAUAUUUUAUAUAAAUUUUUGAGUUAUUUGUAAAAUACCCCAUUAGUUCACCAAAAUCGAUUGAAACCAAAAUUGUUCGAUCUAACCUGGACCGCCUGAUUUGCGCGAUCUAACUUGGACCGCCUGAUUUUUUCUACACUGGUUGUGACCUUAAACAAUCCCAGUAAGAUGGACCUUAAACAAUCCAAGUAAGAUGGACCUUAAACAAUCCAAGUAAGAUGGACAUCCAAAUUUUGUCAUAAAGAUACACUUUUGGUAUCGAAAUUCUUAGUAUGACCUUAUAAUUUAUUUUCACAAAUUAUAAAUUUUUAAAAUCCAAAACUAGAUAAAUCUAGUAGAUCUAUAAACACAAAUAAAAUUUGAAAAUAAACAAUCUAGAUAAUGUAUUGAAAGAUAUACUAUUUUCAGCACUCAAAAUUUUUAUUUUUUUAUAUAUUCAUAUAUUUCGAUAUUGAG